AAUAGAUACCCCGGUAGUCCACGCCGUAAACGAUGAGUGCUAAGUGUUAGGGGGUUUCCGCCCCUUAGUGCUGCAGCUAACGCAUUAAGCACUCCGCCUGGGGAGUACGGUCGCAAGACUGAAACUCAAAGGAAUUGACGGGGGCCCGCACAAGCGGUGGAGCAUGUGGUUUAAUUCGAAGCAACGCGAAGAACCUUACCAGGUCUUGACAUCCCGCUGACCGCUAUGGAGACAUAGCUUUCCCUUCGGGGACAGCGGUGACAGGUGGUGCAUGGUUGUCGUCAGCUCGUGUCGUGAGAUGUUGGGUUAAGUCCCGCAACGAGCGCAACCCUUGUCCUUAGUUGCCAUCAUUCAGUUGGGCACUCUAAGGAGACUGCCGUACAAAUACGGAGGAAGGUGGGGAUGACGUCAAAUCAUCAUGCCCCUUAUGACCUGGGCUACACACGUGCUACAAUGGACGGUACAAACGGUUGCGAAGUCGCGAGACGGAGCCAAUCCGAGAAAGCCGUUCUCAGUUCGGAUUGCAGGCUGCAACG
rnacentral:rRNA from 1 species